UGUCGAAUUAAAACUUGAGCUAAGCAAAAGAGUCUGCGAAUUGUAUCGUUUUCAUUGUAACUGAUCACAAAAACGAUACUAAAUGUGAUACCAAAAAGGCAAAAACAAUCAGAUCCAAAUGGCUUUUCUUUUUUUUUCCUUUUUUUUAUAGUUUUCCGCCGUUUAAUUACAACAACACAAGUAAUUCUAGAAUUCUAGAUAAAAGUGAUCGAGAAGGUUCUCUCUCUUCUCUUUAAAAUAUUUCAGAGAGGAAGAACGUCGUUGAUUUCCGUCGCCAUCCGGAUCCCUUUCUGGCUAUCAGAUCCCGAUUAUUCGGGUUUCUCUUGUGUCUCGUCCGAUAUUGAUUGGCUUACAUAGCAACACUGAUCGGUUUUGUUGUCGGCGCUUCUUUGCCGAGUUGGUAACAGUGCUUUCUUGCCGUGUUGGUAACGGCGCUUCCUUGCCAUGUUGGUAACGGCGUUUCCUUGCCGUGUUUGCUGUCGGCACUUCCUGACCGUGUUUACUGUCGGCGCUUCUUUGUCGUGUUUGUUGUCGGCGCUUCCUUGCCGGUGUUGUCUGAUAGUUAGCCGUCCGGAGUGACUCGGGCUUUCGUCGGGUAUUCUCACGCCGGUUUUGUUUCUUAAGAUAUGUGGUUUACAAUCAAUCACCAUAUAUGAUUAUGACAAAAAGAUCUCAUUGUUUGAUGAUUUGGAAAAUUAAAUGGGUUGAAAUCCCUGUAUUUGGAUCCAUUCUCUCUGUUUAAGCAGUCUCUAGCGAGAAACAACCAAAAAUUGAUGCUUCACACAUUUUCUGGCAUCAAUAGUGUUCACCGGUAUCAGAGUUUUCAACGGCAAAGGAUGAUGGGAAGUUUUAUCGUUUCUCUUGCAACAUGGUUACACCACGUGUUAUUGUUAUUGACACGUUAGAAGCACAAAAGUUAUCUUUCUUUUUCCUUUGAUGUAAUCCUUUGGGCAUUGAUUUUGGGCUUAUAAACUUGUUUGGAUCAAUCAAUAAAGAUAACA